GGCCCUGUCGCAAUCCUUCACCCAGGCUUUCAGGGAGCUGCCGUCGCCACUCCUCUUGUCGGUUGUAGUGCUCCUCGUCCAGUGAGAGCCGGUCCAUAUUUCGGGCCAGGCUGGUGGCCAAGUUGGUGAUGGACGUCAAGGUACCUGAGGGCACAAGAGCAUGGGUUGGUUCUCUUGUCACAGGACUAAAAUUCUUGCCUAUUUUGUGAAUUCAGUGUUCCCUCCUCCUCCUCUGGUCUCGUAUACAAGCUUACAUCAGCUUUGAACUUGUGAUCUUCCUCAGCAAGCAUGACUACACCUGGUCAUGACUUCAGUCUUAAGAAAGCAAGAAACUAAACUCUAUCAUUUGGCAUUCUGAGGGGAAAAAAACCCUAUUUGUUAUGGAAGAUUUAUGUAGUUUUGGUAAUCAGGACACUGACUGAUGGAAAAGCCAACAAAGGAACCCAGACAAUGAUUCUAUUUGGUUUUCCUUAAAAAAAGACAGCUUCAACUAUAUGCUCCAACAGUCCCAACUGCUCCAGCAAGUACAUAUGGAUCUCAGUAGCAAAACUGGAAGACACCAAUAGAGAAGAAAUGGCAAGCAGUGAUUUGUUUAAAACAUGAGCUUUGCUACCAUCCCAGCAUUUCACAGCAAGCUAACAAAACAACAGAAGCUGAAGGCUGGGUGAGCAAACUGAAAAGUGUGAACAAUUGAAAAACAAGACAAGGACCAGCAAGACCGGCACCAGCUACCUUUGGAAAUGUGCUUGACGAACGAUGUGGUCCCUCUGGAGACUCCGCUCACAAAGGCUCCUGGGCCUCGGGUCAAGCCCUCAUAUGGAAGCCUGAAGAAGUCCGAGAUCCCAUUUCCAAUGCUUCUCACUAAGCUGGCAGGGCUGCCGAGGAUUUCCAGAGACCCCACCACCCAGCCUGCAACACAAAGGCUUUGCUGCAGAUCAGGAGGCUCUGCACUUUGGAAUACUGAGCAGGGUCUGGUCUCUCUCCUUGGCAGACCAAGACAGCGAAAUGGAAAUUGGACUUGUUAUAAAGCUGGUUGUC